rnacentral:rRNA from 1 species
CAGAGUUGAUCCUGGCUCAGGAUGAACGCUAGCUACAGGCUUAACACAUGCAAGUCGAGGGGAAACGACAUCGAAAGCUUGCUUUUGAUGGGCGUCGACCGGCGCACGGGUGAGUAACGCGUAUCCAACCUGCCCAUCACUUGGGGAUAACCUUGCGAAAGUAAGACUAAUACCCAAUGAUAUCUCUAGAAGACAUCUGAAAGAGAUUAAAGAUUUAUCGGUGAUGGAUGGGGAUGCGUCUGAUUAGCUUGUUGGCGGGGUAACGGCCACCAAGGCUACGAUCAGUAGGGGUUCUGAGAGGAAGGUCCCCCACAUUGGAACUGAGACACGGUCCAAACUCCUACGGGAGCA